AAUCACUUGUCUUUUAAAUGAAGACCCGUAUGAAUGGCAAAACGAGGGCUUAACUAGUCUCCUUAGUCCAGUCAAUGAAAUUAACCUUCCCGUGCAGAGGCGGAAAUACCACCAUAAGACGAGAAGACCCUAUGGAGCUUUAGACACCAGACCGACCAUGUUAAACACCCUAACAUAAAACCAUGAACUUAGUGGCCACCGUCUUUAUGUCUUCGGUUGGGGCGACCAUGGGGAAAAAUAUAACCCCCACGUGGACUGAGAGCAAAAACCUACCCUCCACUCCCAAAACCAAGAGAAACCACUCAAACAAGCAGAACCUCUGACCUUAAAUGAUCCGGUAAUACCGAUCAACGAAACAAGUUACCCUAGGGAUAACAGCGCAAUCCUCUUUAAGAGCCCAUAUCGACAAGAGGGUUUACGACCUCGAUGUUGGAUCAGGACAUCCUAAUGGUGCAGCAGCUAUUAAGGGUUCGUUUGUUCAACGAUUAA
rnacentral:rRNA from 1 species